UUUUGUGAAGACUGAUUUUCAUUUCUCUUGGAGAUAUACUUAGAAACGGAAUUGCUGGGUUCUGUGAUAGGUAGCUGAAAUACAACAUCAUAAUUUUUACUGGAAAAUAGCCACAAUGAAGGAACACCACAAUUUCACCAUGAAAACCAGCACAACCUUACACAGAUGACAAACAUUUCCCCUCAAAACUUGUUAAACUGUAUUUGGGCUGACCAAAUUAACCAGAGUUAUUCUAUUUAUGGGGGAGCAGGAAGUAACUUGAUAAAAUGCUUUGAGUUUAUAUAUCAUGUCAAAUAAAUAGCAUAAUUUUAAAGGAAAAAAACUUGUUAGGCAAUGUUCUCUUAUUUUCUGACAUCACAUAUUGUGACAGAAUGUAAGGCCAACCUGGUUUUUACAAAUUCCGUGGUCUAAUUUUUUUGUUGUUGUUAGUGUAUAAAAAUAGCA
rnacentral:lncRNA from 1 species